GCUCGCGCGCGGCUAUAUACACAGGCUUGUUGUGUGAGUAGUGGUCCACCCACGCGUCGACGUAGCGCCUGAGAGGGUGGACGUCCACACUGGAACUGAGACACGUCCAGACUCUACGGGAGGCAGCAGUGGGGAUAUGCACAUGGGCGGAGCUGAUGCAGCAACGCGCGUGAGGGAUGACGCUUCGGGUUGUUAAACCUCUUUAGCAGGGAGAGCGUAAGUGACGGUACCUGCAGAAAAAGCGCCGGCUAACUACGUGCCAGCAGCCGCGGUAAUACGUAGGGCGCAAGCGUUAUCCGGAAUUAUUGGGCGUAAAGAGCUCGUAGGCGGUUUGUCGCGUCUGCUGUGAAAACCCGAGGCUCAACCUCGGGCCUGCAGUGGGUACGGGCAGACUAGAGUGCGGUAGGGGAGAUUGGAAUUCCUGGUGUAGCGGUGGAAUGCGCAGAUAUCAGGAGGAACACCGAUGGCGAAGGCAGAUCUCUGGGCCGUUACUGACGCUGAGGAGCGAAAGGGUGGGGAGCAAACAGGCUUAGAUACCCUGGUAGUCCACCCCGUAAACGUUGGGAACUAGUUGUGGGGGCCUUUCCACGGUCUCCGUGACGCAGCUAACGCAUUAAGUUCCCCGCCUGGGGAGUACGGCCGCAAGGCUAAAACUCAAAGGAAUUGACGGGGACCCGCACAAGCGGCGGAGCAUGCGGAUUAAUUCGAUGCAACGCGAAGAACCUUACCAAGGCUUGACAUACACCGGAAACGUCUGGAAACAGUCGCCCCUUUUUGGUCGGUGUACAGGUGGUGCAUGGUUGUCGUCAGCUCGUGUCGUGAGAUGUUGGGUUAAGUCCCGCAACGAGCGCAACCCUCGUUCUAUGUUGCCAGCACGUUAUGGUGGGAACUCAUGGGAUACUGCCGGGGUCAACUCGGAGGAAGGUGGGGAUGACGUCAAAUCAUCAUGCCCCUUAUGUCUUGGGCUUCACGCAUGCUACAAUGGCCGGUACAAAGGGCUGCAAUACCGUGAGGUGGAGCGAAUCCCAAAAAGCCGGUCCCAGUUCGGAUUGAGGUCUGCAACUCGACCUCAUGAAGUCGGAGUCGCUAGUAAUCGCAGAUCAGCAACGCUGCGGUGAAUACGUUCCCGGGUCUUGUACACACCGCCCGUCAAGUCAUGAAAGUCGGUAACACCUGAAGCCGGUGGCCUAACCCCUUGUGGGAGGGAGCUGUCGAAGGUGGGAUCGGUAAUUAGGACUAAGUCUUAAACAAAGGUGGCAGCCCGC
rnacentral:rRNA from 1 species